CAGAAUCAACGCUGGCGGCGCGCUUAACACAUGCAAGUCGAACGAGAAAAUUCCCUUCGGGGAGUGAGUAAAGUGGCGAACGGGUGAGUAACACGUGGGUUACCUGCCCUCGAGUGGGGAAUAACUCUGGGAAACCGGGGCUAACACCGCAUACGAUCCUUCGGGAUGAAAGUCUUCGGACGCUCGAGGAGGGGCCCGCGGCCGAUUAGCUUGUUGGCGGGGUAAUGGCCCACCAAGGCAAAGAUCGGUAGCCGGCCUGAGAGGGCGCACGGUCACACUGGCACUGAGACACGGGCCAGACUCCUACGGGAGGCAGCAGUGAGGAAUCUUGGACAAUGGGGGAAACCCUGAUCCAGCGACGCCGCGUGAGUGAUGAAGCCUUUCGGGGUGUAAAGCUCUUUCAGCGGGGACAAUCAUGAUGGUACCCGCACAAGCAGCUGCGGCUAACUACGUGCCAGCAGCCGCGGUAAUACGUAGGCAGCAAGCGUUGUUCGGAAUUACUGGGCGUAAAGCGAGUGUAGGCGGUCUGCCAAGUCUGUUGUGAAAUCUCCCGGCUCAACUGGGAGGGUGCGUCGGAAACUGGCAGGCUCGAGUGCGAGAGGGGGAGAGUGGAAUUCCUGGGUGUA
rnacentral:rRNA from 1 species